GACGUACUCCCUCCGUCCGAAAAUUUUUGUCAUCAAAAUGAAUAAAAAAAUUGUAUCUAAAACUAAAAUACGUCUAGAUGCAUCCACUUUUAUUUAUUUUGGUGACAAGUAUUUUCGGACGGAGGAAGUACUCU
rfam:Triticum urartu cultivar G1812 contig310741, whole genome shotgun sequence.